rnacentral:lncRNA from 1 species
UUCACGUUCAAACGGCCUACAGUCUGCAGUCAACGUGUCCAAUCGGACGUCUCCAGCGAACAGCGAACGAAAACCUUUUGUCACGCGCUUCCAGAGACCGCGGGACGCCCAGCUUAUUGGUCUUCUCUGCUUAGUGUCUGGGGUGGAACGGCGAUGCUGUUCCCCUGCAGCGGGCGUAGGCUAUUCUUUGCAAUCCAUUUAGACAUUUUCUUCCUUUCCCGGAAGGAAGGGUUGGACAAGCUGCACCAGUAUUUCUUUUCUGUUGCAUUAAUUUGCUUUUCUGCUACGGUACAGCAAAUUUCCAGCGGCAACCGAUUGCCAGGCACCGCCCCUUCACGCCGUUCUGUGUAGAUUUCGGCCCACAGCGAAUCCACAACAAAGCGUCUUUUGUGGUGAGAGGAUCGGGACACGCCAAACUGUGACUUUCCGCUUCAAAACAGCUGAAUGAGGAUGCCCGUCUCCGCACGCAAAAGUAGAGCCAUAUUUGGUAGCGUUCAACCGCUGUGGCUAAUUGCAGUCGUCGACUGUCAGGUACGAGACACUGGCUGUCCAUCGAAAGGCGAGGUCAGACGCUUUGCUGUGGCCAGCGGCGUACUUCCCAGGGAGAGAGUGGCUGUGGUACAUGCCAACUGUCACGUUUUCAACGCGAGAAAGAUACCACACACGGGGAAAAGUAUGCCGCGCCCGCAGGCGAAGCAUAUCGCUUCGGAAUACUAGAAGCAAGGAUGGAGGGCAGCGUUAAGACGUGAGGUAAAAACCGGGUCAUUAGAUUCUCUCGGGGAAAGUAGAAGACCGUGUUCCGAUUGACGAAGGACGGCAAACAGGAUUCACAGCAGACAGAGUGGGAGGUCAGUCGCUGACGGGCCACCCAGCUGAGUAAGCGUUCCAGUGACGCUCCAGCGGAGCCGUGAUCACUAUGGUAGAAGAAAUGCGGUUUACGUGUAGAGUUUUAGCGAUCGAUGUUCGACACAGCGGUAGUACUGCCACUCAUGUAACUGUUUGGAGCAGGUCUAGUCUGGCCCGGUCCCCUCAAGUUCCUAGAAUUCAGAUGAACAGGUUCGCUGGGGUCUUCUGCGUCUGGACAGGGUAAAUGGAAAAAUCAC